UGCUGCGGGAGGGACCGGGCGCCGCGGCGGCGAGCGGAGCCCGGCAGCAGCCGCCAGCCCCGGGGUAUGCGGAUAAGCGGGAGAGGAGCGCGGAGGAAGGCGAAGAGCGGCGGGGAGCGGGGCGAGGGAGCCCGGCCGAGCCCUCCCGAGCGGCGGAGGAUGCGCCGAGCCCCGGGGAGCCGAACCCAGCUGCAGCGCGGCGCGUCCCUCCCGGCCGCCGCCCAAGCCCGCGGAGCCCCCUGUGCCCGGGAGCCAUGAGCUGCCCUCAGCCCCCGCUGAACCGCCGGAGCAGCCCCCCGGCCGCAGCCCCCUGGCACUGUUAGGCUCCCCUGCUCCCCUGGAAGGUGCCCAUUGCUGACGAGGAGAACCUGCUGCGCCCACACCCAGCCUCCUGCAUCCCUCCCAAGGUUUCUUGCCUUGCCAGCAGGUCCUUGUAGGAUUUUGGCUCUGGGCUGUGUGUCUGAGGCUGAGCCAGGUGCCCCCCUGCUCCGUGCCGGGUCCCAUGAGACAGGCAGGGCCACCCUGUCCUUCCCUCCCGGGGCCACAGCACCCCCCUCUGCCCCCGCUGCACGGGACGCCUCUCCAGCACCCCAAACGAAGCUGCAGAGCUCUGCUGCCACGUGCAUGAGUGGAAAGCAGAGGAGAGGCCAAAGCCCAGUGUGCCCCUGGCAUCCGAUCCCCCAACAUCCUGCCUUCAUCUGACCCAGGUGCUCUGUGUGGAUUGGACUCUGGGAAAAGCUGUGCGAGAAGGAUGCUUGGUCGCAGGAGCUCCCACUGUGCCAGGGCUGACAGAGCAAGUGGAGAGCCCAUGGAAAUAGCAGUUUUCUGUCAAAACACCUUUUCAACAGCAAGCCCUGAAGUGCGUUUAUUCUUAGCGAUCUUUUAUUAAACCAAAAUUCUGCUGGGAAAUGAUCCUGCUGGUUAAAGUCCUCCCUGAAAAUACAAGUACUGAGAGCCAUCUGGUCUGUGUUUGGAAUCGUGUAUUUUCUUCCAGAGUGCUAUUUGGAAAAAAACUGAAGAUUUUUUCCUAGGAACAGUAUUUAGAAAAGGAGGUGGUUUUGUUUUUUUUCUUCUGCUUUUUCCUUUGAGACAAGAAGUUAUUUCCUAGGGAAUUGGAGGUAACAGAGUAGUGUAAAGUAAGACACACAGGUAUCCCCAGAAAUGCCAAGGCAGAGGAAAGAAUUCCAAAGUUUAUUUAGAAGGCCAGAACAUGAGAAACUUAAAAAUACCUCACAGUGCUUACUGAAGCACUGGGCCCCAGGGAGAAAAGGCAGGUUCCAGCCCUCUCCAGGGCCUCUUUUUCCUCUCUCUUUUUCCCCUGCCUUCCCGAGGCUCUGUAUGUGUCCUGGAGGGAAGCGUGAUGUGGUGCUGGGAGCAGGGAUCUCAGCCUGAGCAUCCAGUAGGCACAUAAGCCCUCUCCCCAAGGAGCCUGCAAACCUUGGGGCUGGAUGAUGUGGUCAGAGGCUUUAUUUAGUUCUGAGGCAGGGCUGAGCCUGAGUGGAUUUUUAAUGCAUGAAUUUUUAGUGUUUAAACUGAGCAGAUCUUUGAACUGCUGUGGUUUCUGAGGGAUGUUUCUCUUCCUCUCUGAAUGUGUGUGCCAUAAAUGCUCCAAAAAAAUCCUCCCUGUCCUCUCCAGUGUUGUUAGCUCUAGUGAUGUGGACAGAAACUUGCAGGAUGGUUUCCACUAAGACUCUGUGGAGUGGCUUGGAGUUUCCCCAUUGAAAAGCAAGUUUUCAGCAUCAAGGUUACUUCAAAAGGCUGGGGAGGGCAGGUCUCAUGUAGGGGUGUCAGCAGUGUUGGGGCUGUCCCCAGGAAAGGUGCGAGGGACAGUGGGGACUCCAGGGCCACUCUUGUCUUCAGCUGGCCCAGAUGCUGUGGUUAAACAGGGUGGCUGGAAGGGCUGAGAAAGAACCAGGCUGGAGGAAGGAAUGUCACAGAGGGAGAGGUGUCUGUGGCCUCCUUUAGAAGGCCACUUUCUUCAGCUCAGCAUUGCCAAGAAAAGCCCUGAAUUUCUAUUCCAUGCCUUACCUGGUUUCUACCUGGCUCUCUGGGUUAAACCAGGUUUCUUUCCAAACAUCUCACUCCGAGGGCUGACAAAACUAUCGACAGAUUUUUGGUUUCAAAAACAUUAAUUGUUAAAAAUGUUAAUUGUGCAAAUGACUACCAAGCCAGGCAGGGAGCCAGGCUGCACCACCAUAGGGUGGCACCACAAGUGCAUCUGCUGGGCUGAGGGGCAAACCUGGGAGCCACCACCACGGUCCAGCAGCUCUGCAGAGCCGCAUGAUGGGAUUUCACGCAGGGUGCCUUGAUGUUCUAGGCUUUCCAGUACCUGUGAGCUUUCGUUGGGGCCACCAGGGACUAUUUGUCACAGGAAUCUGGGCCCUGUGUUAGUGAGAUGCGGCGGCUUUUGAGGUUUUCCAGCAGUGGAACCAGAUCUUCCCUGUCUUGGGAUGGGAGAUUGUACCAUGCACAUACAGCUUUGGGAUGUCACAUCAAUGUUAACGACGGGGAAGAAGGGAGAGCAGAGCUGGGUGUGCGUGGCAGUUUGUUUCCUUAGGUUUAUGCACUGAUACUUUCUGCUUAAUUGCACUCUGACAUGCAUCAAGGGGCAGUGAGGGGUUUUAAAAAAGCUUUUUUUUACCAAAAAAAAAAAAAAAAUACGGUCCCUGAAAUACUCAGGAUGGGCUGACUGCUUUUUAAAAAACUGCUAUAAUUACGAGUGCAAGGCUUCCAGUUCUCCUGGUCUCAUUGCACCUGGAGAGAGGCAGAAGGAGUGUUUGUCCUGCUUAGCACAGAGGGGCUGGGAGGUGAUCACUGCAUGGAUCCUUGGAGAUGGAUGUGUUGGGAGUCAGAGGGCUUGUUCCCACGAAUGGGAACGGGUGGUGGACUGAGGGCUUGGAAGGGAAUGGAGGCAAUUUAGUGAUGUAUUAGGGUGUACUCAGAACGAUGAAAAUGUCCCUGGUGCACCCCACAGCUCCCUCCUGAGUGUGUCCUGCCUCCCAUGGCUGUGGGGAAUCCAGAGGUGGGUCGGGGCCAUGGGGAGCCCAUGUCUUGCCUGUAGAGAGGGGCUGCUCCAGGAAGUGUCUCCCAAGACUGUCAGGCGUGAUCCAAAAUUAACAUCUCAUUCACUUGCUCUUAGCUCUGUUAGCUCUGCGAGGCUAAUAGGGCUUAAUAAAAAAGGCCUCUUGUCACCAAAAUCAGCAAGGCUGACUCAGAACAUGCAGAGGGAGCAGACUUGCUGAUGGAGGCAAUGUUGAUGUUGCAAGCACUCACCCGGCCACAGCAGGGCCGUGGGACUUGCCCAGGAAUCCCUGUCAGAGCCUCUGAGGGGUCCUUGGUUCCCAUCUUGGUGGGUGAACCACUGGGUGAGGGGGAUGAAGGCGUGAGCAUCGAACCCAGCCAAGCUGUGGAGCGUUCCCAGUGCUGUGCCGUGUUCCACAAUUAAUCACUUCCACCCACACUACACCUUUCCCCUCCCCUAGAUCCUCCCUCGCCUGGCUCUGGAGUGGGGAACGGAGGCAGCUCCAGUUUUAUGAAUCAAUCAAAGACAAUGCCUGCUUUGGAGAGCUGCUGAUUUAGAGAGCCCUUUGCAAGCAUGUGUGCAGUAUGAUUUCUUAUCGUAGCACAGCUCUGGAUGAGCCUGCCAAGAGGAGCUGUUCCAGCUCCUGGCCACAUCCUGGGGAGAUGGCCUGAGUGGUCCUUUCAUCUGCAAAUAAAACAAACAGGAACAAAGAAGGCAAUAAUAUUGACUUUCAUUAUUGAUAUUUCCAUUUAUCUCAGUAAUAAUUAGUGUUUCUGUAGCUGGGAGGGUAUAGCUCAUAAUCUCACUGUUUCAGGGGAGCCUAUUAAUGUCAUCACCAAAACCAACCAGGCAUAAAGCACUGGACAAGU